CCUACGGGGGGCUGCAGUGGGGAAUAUUGGACAAUGGGCGAAAGCCUGAUCCAGCCAUGCCGCGUGUGUGAAGAAGGCCUUCGGGUUGUAAAGCACUUUCAGUGGGGAAGAAAGCCUUGGGGCUAAUACCCUCGAGGAAGGACAUCACCCACAGAAGAAGCACCGGCUAACUCCGUGCCAGCAGCCGCGGUAAUACGGAGGGUGCGAGCGUUAAUCGGAAUUACUGGGCGUAAAGCGCGCGUAGGCGGUCUGAUAAGCCGGUUGUGAAAGCCCCGGGCUCAACCUGGGAACGGCAUCCGGAACUGUCAGGCUAGAGUGCAGGAGAGGAAGGUAGAAUUCCAGGUGUAGCGGUGAAAUGCGUAGAGAUCGGGAGGAAUACCAGUGGCGAAGGCGGCCUUCUGGACUGACACUGACGCUGAGGUGCGAAAGCGUGGGUAGCAAACAGGAUUAGAUACCCCAGUAGUC
rnacentral:rRNA from 1 species